rnacentral:tRNA from 1 species
GGAGGGUUGUGCCGAAUGGUAAGGCAACGGCUUGCUAAGCCGUGACCGGGAAACCGGUCUGUGGGUUCGAUUCCCUCACCCUCCG